CUGAAGAGAACUAUGCUUUCUGUGGGAAAACACUGCUCUUGUAAUGUUGCUGUAGACUGCUUCAUCUUGAUUUAUCCUUAUUCUAAAUUUAUAUAAAGACAGCAGUGAUUCUUCCAUAUCAGGAACCGUGAAAAGGUUAUGGGCCUGAUCUUAGCUUCAGUUUCCUAGUAAACUUCACCUCCCAGUGAACAGCAGUUUGGUUAUCUCUGCAGGUAAGGUGGCAGGAGGAGACUGCCAAGAAGUUGUCCAGGAAAGUUUAACCAGCUCCCCUCAGGUUCUACUCCUCCAAUAACGCUUUUGCAUUAAAUCCAAAAUGCCACUUGUCAAAUAACACAAGACUUUUCUUGUAAUCACACAGGAUUAUAUUAGAAUAUUAAACUAGACACAACUGAACCAUUCCAUUUAUUCAUAAUUUUAAAGUAAAAAUAAUAAUAAUAAUAAGCUAAUAUUUUCUGAAUAUGGAAAGGACUAACUAGAGUGUUUAUACCUGCAGCCUCUGAACUAAGCACUCUGUCUGAUGCUGAUGGUUUGCUUUUACUAGCAGUUAUUACAUCUUUAGUCACAUGUACAGGAAAUGUUCACAGCCUCUGUUCUGUGCUGGUCUUAUCACUUUAAAUUACACUUCCUACUUGUUCUUGAAAUAGCACCAACAUAACUUCAUUGGGUUUGAUAUUUUAACAUACAAUCAC
rnacentral:lncRNA from 1 species